rnacentral:lncRNA from 1 species
AAACCAUUACCGAGUUUAGUGGUAAUAGAUAGCUACUCCUCUAUAUGAAGGGGAUAAAGAAAACCCUCAUCUAAGUAAUUUUUUCACAAAACAGUGCCUAGAACUUUAUCAUUUUUUUUAUUUUUGAUUUCACUAUUUGCUGAAGCUCCAAUUGACUUAAACAUUGAAGGAUCUCCUCAUCAAAAGAUCUUCGAUAAGUGGACUUCCUUAUAGGUGUCUCUAAAGAAUGAAUGAUUUUACUCCAACAAAGGCUAUCUCCAUGUUGAAAGGUGACUGACCUCCACCUUAGUAGGAGAUUGAGCCUAGCCAU